rnacentral:rRNA from 1 species
GACGAACGCUGGCGGCGUGCCUAAUACAUGCAAGUUGAGCGCUGAAGGUUGGUACUUGUACCAACUGGAUGAGCAGCGAACGGGUGAGUAACGCGUGGGGAAUCUGCCUUUGAGCGGGGGACAACAUUUGGAAACGAAUGCUAAUACCGCAUAAAAACUUUAAACACAAGUUUUAAGUUUGAAAGAUGCAAUUGCAUCACUCAAAGAUGAUCCCGCGUUGUAUUAGCUAGUUGGUGAGGUAAAGGCUCACCAAGGCGAUGAUACAUAGCCGACCUGAGAGGGUGAUCGGCCACAUUGGGACUGAGACACGGCCCAAACUCCUACGGGAGGCAGCAGUAGGGAAUCUUCGGCAAUGGACGAAAGUCUGACCGAGCAACGCCGCGGGGGUGAAGAAGGUUUUCGGAUCGUAAAACUCGGUUGGUAGAGAAGAACGUUGGUGAGAGUGGAAAGCUCAUCAAGUGACGGUAACUACCCAGAAAGGGACGGCUAACUACGUG